GACGAACGCUGGCGGCGUGCUUAACACAUGCAAGUCGAACGGAAAGGCCCUGCUUUUGUGGGGUGCUCGAGUGGCGAACGGGUGAGUAACACGUGAGUAACCUGCCCUUGACUUUGGGAUAACAUCAGGAAACUGGGGCUAAUACCGGAUAGGAGCUCCUGCUGCAUGGUGGGGGUUGGAAAGUUUCGGCGGUUGGGGAUGGACUCGCGGCUUAUCAGCUUGUUGGUGGGGUAGUGGCUUACCAAGGCUUUGACGGGUAGCCGGCCUGAGAGGGUGACCGGCCACAUUGGGACUGGGAUACGGCCCAGACUCCUACGGGAGGCAGCAGUGGGGAAUAUUGCACAAUGGGCGGAAGCCUGAUGCAGCAACGCCGCGUGCGGGAUGACGGCCUUCGGGUUGUAAACCGCUUUCGCCUGUGACGAAGCGUGAGUGACGGUAAUGGGUAAAGAAGCACCGGCUAACUACGUG
rnacentral:rRNA from 1 species